AUAGCGUAUAUUAAAGUUGUUGCGGUUAAAAAGCUCGUAGUUGAAUCUGUGUGCCACGCUGUCGGUUCACCGCUCGCGGUGUUUAACUGGCAUGAUUGUGGGACGUCCUACCGGUGGGCUUAGCUCCUUCGGGGGCGGCCCAACUAAUAUCCCAUCGCGGUGCUCUUCGCUGAGUGUCGAGGUGGGCCGGUACGUUUACUUUGAACAAAUUAGAGUGCUUAAAGCAGGCUAGUUUCGCCUGAAUACUGUGUGCAUGGAAUAAUGGAAUAGGACCUCGGUUCUAUUUUGUUGGUUUUCAGAACCCCGAGGUAAUGAUUAACAGGGACAGAUGGGGGCAUUCGUAUUGCGACGUUAGAGGUGAAAUUCUUGGAUCGUCGCAAGACGGACAGAAGCGAAAGCAUUUGCCAAAAAUGUUUUCUUUAAUCAAGAACGAAAGUUAGAGGUUCGAAGGCGAUCAGAUACCGCCCUAGUUCUAACCAUAAACGAUGCCAGCUAGCGAUCCGCCGAAGUUCCUCCGAUGACUCGGCGGGCAGCUUCCGGGAAACCAAAGCUUUUGGGUUCCGGGGGAAGUAUGGUUGCAAAGCUGAAACUUAAAGGAAUUGACGGAAGGGCACCACCAGGAGUGGAGCCUGCGGCUUAAUUUGACUCAACACGGGAAACCUCACCAGGCCCGGACACCGGAAGGAUUGACAGAUUGAGAGCUCUUUCUUGAUUCGGUGGGUGGUGGUGCAUGGCCGUUCUUAGUUGGUGGAGCGAUUUGUCUGGUUAAU
rnacentral:rRNA from 1 species